rnacentral:tRNA from 1 species
GUUUUUAUAGUUGAACAACAACGGUAGUUUUUCGGACUAAGAGUUUUGGUUGCAUUCCAAGUAAAAAUU